rnacentral:rRNA from 1 species
UUCCUACGGGGCGCAGCAGUGAGGAAUAUUGGUCAAUGGUCGGGAGACUGAACCAGCCAAGCCGCGUGAGGGAUGAAGGUACAGAGUAUCGUAAACCUCUUUUGUCAGGGAACAAAGGCGGGGACGCGUCCCCGGAUGAGUGUACCUGAAGAAAAAGCAUCGGCUAACUCCGCGCCAGCAGCCGCGGGAAUACGUAGGUGGCAAGCGUUAUCCGGAUUUAUUGGGCGUAAAGGGAACGCAGGCGGUCUUUU